AUGGCAAGGCUGCGGAAGAGGAAGAGGGGGACGGGGAGGGGGAGGGGCGUGAGGUGGCUGAGCCACUACUCAUCGGGGCAAAGCAUUCUGAUCGUCGGAGACGGGGAUUUCUCCUUCUCGCUGGCUCUCGCCGCCGCGUUCGGGACGGGCCGGAACAUCGUCGCGACGUCGCUGGACUCCUAUGAGGCUCUGUCUCGCAAGUAUAUCAAAGCACAAUCAAAUUUAAUGCGGUUGAAGAGAAUGCAUGCCACGGUUUUGCAUGGUAUCGAUGCAAAUACAAUGAAGGGACAUACUGAUCUGAAGAUGAGACUAUUUGAUCGGAUUGUCUUUAAUUUUUCUCAUGCUGGAUUCAGUGGAAGAGAGUGUGAGAUGCACGUCAUCAGAUCGCACAGGGAGCUGGUGAGGGGGUUCUUUGGCAACGCGCGAGAGCUGCUUCAGCCGUAUGGUGAAAUCCACAUUAGCAACAAGACAGGACAUCCUUACGACCGGUGGGAUAUUGAGCAACUCGCCUCAGAAUCUUCUCUGGCUAUGAUUGACAUAGUUAGUUUCCAGAAACAAGACUACCCUGGCUAUAACCCGAAGAGAGGAAGCGGUGCAAAGCCCAACAAACCAUUCCCUCUUGGUGACUGCAGCACAUACAAGUUCAUCGCGAAACAUAAUGAUGCUCAAGAAGAACGUGCAUGUUGCUCCUACAUUUGCCAAGAUACAUAUGUCUCGCCGUACUUUGACUAUGCGAGCGGUCUCGCCGCACUCGGAGCUGGGAAUGGGGGGCACCUUGCAUACUGA
rnacentral:rRNA from 1 species